UGCUGUUCGACCUCCGUCUGCUGGCGCU
rnacentral:piRNA from 1 species